UAUAUUUUAGUAUACGAUGUACGAAAAUUUUUGAUAUUUUAGGAAGCGGCUUAACUCCGUUAGAUAUAA
rnacentral:tRNA from 1 species